rnacentral:rRNA from 1 species
UGGUGGGUAGUUUGACUGGGGCGGUCUCCUCCUAAAGAGUAACGGAGGAGCACGAAGGUUGGCUAAUCCUGGUCGGACAUCAGGAGGUUAGUGCAAUGGCAUAAGCCAGCUUGACUGCGAGCGUGACGGCGCGAGCAGGUGCGAAAGCAGGUCAUAGUGAUCCGGUGGUUCUGAAUGGAAGGGCCAUCGCUCAACGGAUAAAAGGUACUCCGGGGAUAACAGGCUGAUACCGCCCAAGAGUUCAUAUCGACGGCGGUGUUUGGCACCUCGAUGUCGGCUCAUCACAUCCUGGGGCUGAAGUAGGUCCCAAGGGUAUGGCUGUUCGCCAUUUAAAGUGGUACGCGAGCUGGGUUUAGAACGUCGUGAGACAGUUCGGUCCCUAUCUGCCGUGGGCGCUGGAGAACUGAGGGGGGCUGCUCCUAGUACGAGAGGACCGGAGUGGACGCAUCACUGGUGUUCGGGUUGUCAUGCCAAUGGCACUGCCCGGUAGCUAAAUGCGGAAGAGAUAAGUGCUGAAAGCAUCUAAGCACGAAACUUGCCCCGAGAUGAGUUCUCCCUGAGACUUUAGGUCUCCUGAAGGAACGUUGAAGACGACG